AUACUUACCUGGAUGGGGUCAAUGGGUGAUCAUUAAGGCUCAUGGCCUAGGUUGGUGACCUCCAUUGCACUCAGGAGGGGUGCCCACUUAAGGUCUCCCAAAAUGGGAGAAUCUACAUCGUAAUUUGUGGAAGCGGGGGCCUGCGUUCGCGCGGCCCCUAC
rnacentral:snRNA from 1 species